rnacentral:rRNA from 1 species
AGGACGAACGCUGGCGGCGUGCUUAACACAUGCAAGUCGAGCGAGAACCAGCUGAGGGGUAACCCUCGGCUGGGGACAGCGGCGAACGGGUGCGUAACACGUGGGCAACCUGCCCCUGACACUGGGAUAACCCCGGGAAACCGGAGCUAAUACCGGAUACUCUCGGCCGAUCACAUGGCUGGCCGAGGAAAGGUCCGCCGGUCAGGGAUGGGCCCGCGGCCUAUCAGCUUGUUGGUGGGGUAACGGCCUACCAAGGCGACGACGGGUAGCUGGUCUGAGAGGACGACCAGCCACACUGGAACUGAGAUACGGUCCAGACUCCUACGGGAGGCAGCAGUGGGGAAUAUUGCACAAUGGGCGAAAGCCUGAUGCAGCGACGCCGCGUGAGGGAUGAAGGCCUUCGGGUCGUAAACCUCUUUCGGCAGGGACGAAGCGAUCAGUGACGGUACCUGCAGAGAAGCCCGGCUACUACGUGCCAGCAGCCGC